AAUCAACGCUGGCGGCGUGCCUAACACAUGCAAGUCGAACGCGAGAGGGGCUUCGGCCCCGAUUGAGUGGCGAACGGGUGAGUAACGCGUGGGUGACCUACCUUCGAGUGGGGGAUAACGUCCCGAAAGGGACGCUAAUACCGCAUAACAUCCUGCUUUUGAAUGGGUGGAGAUCAAAGCCGGGGAUCGCAAGACCUGGCGCUUGAUGAGGGGCCCGCGUCUGAUUAGCUAGNGGUGAGGUAACGGCCCACCAAGGCAACGAUCAGUAUCCGGCCUGAGAGGGCGGGCGGACACACUGGGACUGAGACACGGCCCAGACUCCUACGGGAGGCAGCAGUGGGGAAUUGUUCGCAAUGGGCGCAAGCCUGACGACGCAACGCCGCGUGGAGGAUGAAGGUCUUCGGA
rnacentral:rRNA from 1 species